ACCUGCACUGGAAAGCGAUUCUGUGCUGCCUGUGCCCUGGUCAUUGAGAGUGCAGAGAGAGCAUGCUCAAAGCUUUCUCUGGGUUUGGAAGACUCCUCUUGUGCUUACCAAAUCCUGGUGCUUUCCCACA
ensembl:snoRNA SNORA71 Small nucleolar RNA SNORA71